rnacentral:rRNA from 1 species
UACGGGGGGGAGCAAGCGUUGUUCGGAUUUACUGGGCGUAAAGGGCGUGUAGGCGGUACCAUAAGUCAGAUGUGAAAGCCCUGGGCUUAACCUAGGAUGUGCAUUUGAUACUGUGGAACUAGAGAUCGAGAGAGGAAAGUGGAAUUACGAGUGUAGAGGUGAAAUUCGUAGAUAUUCGUAAGAACACCAGUGGCGAAGGCGACUUUCUGGCUCGAUACUGACGCUAAAGGCGCGGAAAAGCGUGGGGGAGCAAACAGG